CAAAUCAUCACGGCCCUUACAUCUAGGGCUACACACGUGCUACAAUGGUCGGUACAAAGGGUUGCCAAGCCGCGAGGUGGAGCUAAUCCCAUAAAACCGAUCGUAGUCCGGAUCGCAGUCUGCAACUCGACUGCGUGAAGUCGGAAUCGCUAGUAAUCGCGAAUCAGAAUGUCGCGGUGAAUACGUUCCCGGGCCUUGUACACACCGCCCGUCACACCAUGGGAGUGGGUUGUACCAGAAGUAG
rnacentral:rRNA from 1 species